rnacentral:rRNA from 1 species
AUUGAACGCUGGCGGCAGGCCUAACACAUGCAAGUCGAGCGGAUGAAGGGAGCUUGCUCCUGGAUUCAGCGGCGGACGGGUGAGUAAUGCCUAGGAAUCUGCCUGGUAGUGGGGGAUAACGUCCGGAAACGGGCGCUAAUGCCGCAUACGUCCUGAGGGAGAAAGUGGGGGAUCUUCGGACCUCACGCUAUCAGAUGAGCCUAGGUCGGAUUAGCUAGUUGGUGGGGUAAAGGCCUACCAAGGCGACGAUCCGUAACUGGUCUGAGAGGAUGAUCAGUCACACUGGAACUGAGACACGGUCCAGACUCCUACGGGAGGCAGCAGUGGGGAAUAUUGGACAAUGGGAGAAAGCCUGAUCCAGCCAUGCCGCGUGUGUGAAGAAGGUCUUCGGAUUGUAAAGCACUUUAAGUUGGGAGGAAGGGCAGUAAGUUAAUACCUUGCUGUUUUGACGUUACCAACAGAAUAAGCACCGGCUAACUUCGUG